rnacentral:antisense_RNA from 13 species
AUCAAUGGUGGGCUGUACGGGGGCGGAGCAAUCCGCGCCGGUUUCUUCAGUGUCCGGUAAGGCUAACCCUGUACAGUCCGCCACCAGC